CCUACGGGUGGCAGCAGUGAGGAAUAUUGGUCAAUGGACGCAAGUCUGAACCAGCCAUGCCGCGUGCAGGAUGACGGCCCUAUGAGUUGUAAACUGCUUUUGUACGAGGGUAAACGCAGAUACGCGUAUCUGUCUGAAAGUAUCGUACGAAUAAGGGUAGGCUAACUUCGUGCCAGCAUCAGCGGCAAUACGGAGGAUUCAAGCGUUAUCCGGAUUUAUUUGGUUUAAAGGGUGCGUAGGCGGUCGGAUAAGUUAGAGGUGAAAUCCCGGGGCUCAACUUCGGAAUUGCCUCUGAUACUGUUCGGCUAGAGUGUAGUUGCGGAUGGCGGAAUGUAUGGUGUAGCUGUGAAAUGCUUAGAGAUCAUACAGAACACCGAUUGCGAAGGCAGCUUUCCAGGCUACUUCUGACGUUGAGGCACGAAAGCGUGGGGAGCAAACAGGAUUAGAUACCCGAGUAGUC
rnacentral:rRNA from 1 species